UACGUAGGGUGCGAGCGUUAAUCGGAAUUAUUGGGCGUAAAGAGCUCGUAGGCGGCUUGUCACGUCGAUUGUGAAAGCCCGAGGCUUAACCUCGGGUCUGCAGUCGAUACGGGCUAGCUAGAGUGUGGUAGGGGAGAUCGGAAUUCCUGGUGUAGCGGUGAAAUGCGCAGAUAUCAGGAGGAACACCGGUGGCGAAGGCGGAUCUCUGGGCCAUUACUGACGCUGAGGAGCGAAAGCGUGGGGAGCGAACAGG
rnacentral:rRNA from 1 species